GUUGUGUCACAAGCUGGAAACCAGCGUUGGGUCGUUACUCAUCUUCUUCUUCUUCUGAGCACACAAUGAAAACUUCCUUUUCCAUGGACUUAAUUCUCUCUUCGGGAAGUUUGUUAGGGAUCUGCUUGGAUGUUACCUGAAAGAAACAGCUGGAGAAGCAGGAGAAGAAUCAUCAGACAGUGACGGAGAACAAGAAGAGACGUCGCACAAGCUGAUACGGAAGGUGUCAACCUCCGGACAGAUCAGGGCAAAGACGAACAAAUUCCCUGUGAUCCGUUAAAGAGGAGAAACGUGUGCAGUGAUGCCAAGUCUGUGACAGGAAGCAGGUUGUGUCCAUAAAGAUAAAAGCAGCCUCACACAGCCGCCAUGUGCUCAAGCCUUU
rnacentral:lncRNA from 1 species